AGUCAUUAUGUCAUAUAGGUUAAUACUUGCAAAAUUCUAAUAAUUGUGAUUUUUCUAUGCUCUCCCUGGGUAGUCUCUCUGUCAUUUAGAUUGUAAUUUUCUUCCCUAGUCUUGAAGCAGAUAUAAUGCCACAGCUGUUUCUUCAGCUAUUCUGUUUUCUGUGAACAAACACCUGCUUAGACUGUACCUAAGGAGUUAUUUGUUUUUUGAUAAUUAAAGCACUGCUAUGGUGAUGGCCGACAUCUGGAUUCACUUUUAAAGACUUUGUUGUGUUUUUCUGGCUCCUGGGAGACUCAUGAAGUAUAACGCAUUAGAUGGAAAUGUGGUGAUGUGCUUCAUUUUGCAACAGCAGUUUUACUCUCGCUUUGUUAUUUCCCUACUGCAAUGAGAGAGAGCUGCCACUCUGCUUGUUGCUGCUAAGAGAUUAGGGGAGCUGAGCUGAGCUCUAGAAAUUUA
rnacentral:lncRNA from 10 species